AAAAUUGUAUAAAUUUUAACCAGAGUAGUAUUAGUUAUGGUCUUGAAACUCAAAAAAUUUGGCGGUAUUUUAGUCUAUUUAGAGGAACCUGUAGUAUAAUCGAUAAUCCACGAUGGACCUCACUUAAUUUUGUUUUUCAGUUUGUAUACCGCUGUUAUUUGAAAAUUUUAUAAGAAUAAUAAUUUUCAUAAAUUUUUAUUAAAAAAUAAAUCAGGUCAAGGUGCAGCUAAUAAUUAAGUAUUUAUGGGUUACAAUAAAUUUAUUUAUACGGCUAAAAAUAUGAAAUUAUUUUUUUAAGGUGGAUUUAAUAGUAAAUUUUUAUAGAUUAAAAAAUUGAUU
rnacentral:rRNA from 1 species